CUUUUCAUUUGUUAGAAAACAUAGUGUACCUUUAUAAUCGUAGCUGUAUGCAAUGAUCCAUCAUGUAUUUUCUGUUUAAAAGCGCAACCCGUAAUUGCUUGAUGUCAUGAAAUGUCUAUAAUUUUUUUUACAUUCUUAAGUUAGCCUCCAGACUAUCUGCAUUGUCAUGGUAACUUUGGUAGGUUAUAAUAUGCAGAUCGAUAAUCCCUGUUCAGUUUGAGCUUUCCAUGUGAUUUUUUACCCAAAUAUUAGGAUCACAACUUAACUUAAAUUAGCAGUAUAAUGUCAAUGGGCGUCAUCUGAAGCUAAUAAGAUGUUGUUACUGAAGAACAUCCCCCUGCUACUUGCACAGUACGUGAAAAACACCCUAAAUAGAUUAAAGAAAUCAUACUUGACUGUGAUUGCAUUUGGUUGACGCUUACAUGUAUUUCCCAUCGGUAGAUCAAAGGGGUAAUCUACAUUUUAGGUCCAAGCUUUCAAUGCAUUUUUCUAUCUUUUUUUCAUAUCCCAGUCAUCAUCUGCAAGGCCGAAGCAUGCAUGUCUAUAUGGUUUUGUGGCACUGAUUUCGUUCCAUGCCAGUUUAUUUCCAGCAGUUGGUCUGCUUCUUCAUAGAGAUUUUAUCAGUAUACUAAAUUAAAUAAGAAACUGAAUGUGUACUGCUUUCACCUUCCGUUUGAACAUGAUUGUCUUAUUUGUGACAUAGGUGAAAAUUAGCAAGCAAGCUACAGUAGGUGCAUGGAUGACCAAGUUUACUUGUUACUUUAUGAAGAUGAUGAUUCCUAAAUAGAAUUACGAGCUAGGUCCUGCAUGUUGAUCGUGCUUCAAGGGUAGAAGAGAAUGGGGGAGGGGACGCGCGCUCCAUAUUUUGUUAUGCACACCUUCCUAAACUAUACUUUUCUUCUUAACAUAUGUUCAUUGUCUAGCAGAAGCUGUAGAUUUCAGCGUACAAUAAUUUCCAAAAUGGUAGAAGGUAAGAACCAUGUUACAUGAUCCUUUUGUGUUCUCUUGAUUUAAAGUAACACGUACCUGUUAAACUCGGUGAUGAUUUUCGAGGUGUAUUUAUAAAUUAUCUGCCAAGGUUAUUCCUUCAUGCAAUUUUUUUCUCUGAAGCCUAGGCAUAUUCAUUGUUUGGUUGGCUCUCUUUACUAGCAGGAAGAUAACUACUACGUGUUGCUUAGUUAUUAGCGGAUUGACUGUAUGAAUGAUCUUGUGUUCACCCAGAGUUAUAGGUUUCUAAAUACUAGGCUCUUAGGACUUAAUUAUAAUGGUUAGUUUUGUUUGGAUUCAUGUACUCUGGUGCUACAGCCUAGGUAAAGCUCCUUCACAAUAGUAUUUAAAGCUUAUAUUGAUAACUCCAUCAGAGUUCAAGCAUUAGGCUCUCUGCUCUGUGUAUUGCUAGAUGUUCUAUAUAAUGCUUUGAUGUUCCUUUGUCACUGUUUGAUGUUCUGCCUUGGGUGGCCUUUGUCUUGGUUUACAACUCCAUAUGGCUACCUAUGUAUACAUAUGUAGGUUUUGUUUGAACUGUAGUCAAAUUGCGCAGAUGUUUCUAUAUUCUUGCCUUCCUCUUUUUAACUCAUGAGAUUGUUAGAUAGUUGAAUAUCAUUGGUCUCUGUCGGCAUUCUAUUUUCGUAGUUUGAAAUGAGUAUUGGUCCAUUGAUAUUAAACUUCACAAUAGGUAGUGGCAUCUUCACGAAAAAGUAGUGGCAGAUAUGCUGGUGAUUUCUUUUCUGCUACAGGAAUGACACUAUUCCCAAAUCCUCAACACAUAUUUUUUAGUAACUGAGAGGAUUAUUCACCUUUGCUGCUAUAGGCAUUCAAGACCUGGCAGGGCUGGGUCAACCGGCCCUUCGUGUUCAAGACCCGGCUCUGAUGAGCCUUGACAGCCGUGCUACCGACUGGGCAUCUUCAUCCUGAGCCAUAUCCGGAACCAGACCAGUAGGGGCACCCUGAGAGAGCACCCGAGGCAUGCUGUCAAGUUGGACGAGUGCAACCAGGCCACCUGCUGUGUGUGUCCACGGUUCAUACAGUCAAGGCGUUCGCUCAUCUUGGGCCAGAACGAGCACUAUAAGGGGAACCGUUUUGUUACAUUGUUGUGUUGUUGGUUAAAGAUAAUGUUUUUCUUCUCGAAUUAUGAAACCUCAAACAACAGUAGGAUAUAACCGUUUUGUUCGUUUUGCAAUCAAAGCUUCCAUCAAAUAACAUUUUAGAAUUAUGCUCCGUCUUAUUCAUAAACUGUGGCUAUUUUGUAGAUUCAUACAAGAUACGGCUUUGUGUGCAUUGAAAUAGCAACAAGUUGGUCUCUUGGUCUCGUUUCUGUA